ACCCCAGUGAAAUAUGCCCUAAUAAAGUAAACGGAGCAGGUAUCAGGCACGAACACUCAGCCCAAAACACCAAGCCACGCCACACCCACACGGGCCAUCAGCAGUGAUAAACAUUAAGCAAUAAGCGCCCUCAUUCCAAGCUUGACUUAGCUAUGAUUAACGUGGGCCGGUCAACCUCGUGCCAGCCACCGCGGUUAUACGAGAGGCCCAAAGUAGCAGUCCCCGGCGUAAAUCGUGAUAAGAACACAUACCACAACCUAAAAACUAAACAAUGCCCUAACCGUAAAACACAGGCCAAAUGAAACCCAAAAUUUUUAGUACACUGGUAGUUUGACUCACGAAGACUAAGAAACAAACUAGGAUUAGAUACCCUACUAUGCUUAGUUGUUAAUACGGUAUCUUAAUACAUAAAAUACCCGCCAGAAGAUUACGAGCGAAAAGCUUAAAACUCAAAGGACUUGGCGGUGCUCCACACCCGACUUAGAGGAGCCUGUCCUAUAAUCGAUACUCCACGAUAAACCUCACCACCCAUUGCCUAAAACAGCCUAUAUACCGCCGUCGCCAACUUACCCCAUGAGGGCUUAAUAGUAAGUACAAUAGUACAUCAACUAAAACGUCAGGUCAAGGUGUAGCUAAUAGGGUGGAAGAGAUGGGCUACAUUUUUUAAAAUAAAACAAACGGCAUGAAACCAUGAAACUGGUUUCUGAAGGAGGAUUUAACAGUAAAAUUAUUGAGAAAACUAAUUUUAAACUA
rnacentral:rRNA from 1 species